CUGAAAUAGCUUGAAGAUCCUCAUUACUACCUUUGUGGACCCUCGAGGGGCCUCAGUUUGAGAAGGAUUUCCAUCCAGGAGACUGCUUGGUGUAAAAAUUGCCAAAGCAGUUGCCUGCCACAACUUUGUAAAAGCCAAAAAGGAGGUUGAAAAUUCACAGGCUGCCCGAAAAAAGAAGAAACUUGCAUGGGGGUUUGAAGCAAAGAAGAGAUGGGAAACCAAAAGCAACAUGGGAUACAUGUAACUUGCCAGAGUGCUUCAAGACAUUUGUAGACUCAAAUGCUCAAUUUACUGAGAAUGUUUUCCUGCCUAUGUUAAUAUGUCAGAAAAUUGAUAGCACUAAAACAAAAAUAAGCAUAAAAUUUGGGAUUUUGAUUAUCAGCUCUUUUCAGUCUUUCUUUAAGGACUUUGUCCUAUUGAAGUGAAUAAAAUGAAGCAUUCUGUUAUUUGUAUAAGAAAUGUAAGAAAAAAAAUAUAGAAAGAAGAGGAUAGGAUUUUGUUUAUUUGUAUGGAUGGACCCUUGGUAUAAAAUCACUUUUGGCGCUUUCCAUUCAUUUGGUUUAGCACAGCCAGUGAGCUUCUCGUACUUUCUUUCUUUUUUUUUUUUUUUUUGAGACAGAGCCUCGCUUGCUCUGUCACCCAGGCUAGAGUGCAGUAGCACGAUCUUGGCUCACUGCAACCACUGCU
rnacentral:lncRNA from 1 species